rnacentral:rRNA from 1 species
AUUGAACGCUGGCGGCAGGCCUAACACAUGCAAGUCGAACGGUAACAGGAAACAGCUUGCUGUUUCGCUGACGAGUGGCGGACGGGUGAGUCAUGUCUGGGAAACUGCCUGAUGGAGGGGGAUAACUACUGGAAACGGUAGCUAAUACCGCAUAACGUCGCAAGACCAAAGAGGGGGACCUUCGGGCCUCUUGCCAUCGGAUGUGCCCAGAUGGGAUUAGCUAGUAGGUGGGGUAACGGCUCACCUAGGCGACGAUCCCUAGCUGGUCUGAGAGGAUGACCAGCCACACUGGAACUGAGACACGGUCCAGACUCCUACGGGAGGCAGCAGUGGGGAAUAUUGCACAAUGGGCGCAAGCCUGAUGCAGCCAUGCCGCGUGUAUGAAGAAGGCCUUCGGGUUGUAAAGUACUUUCAGCGGGGAGGAAGGGAGUAAAGUUAAUACCUUUGCUCAUUGACGUUACCCGCAGAAGAAGCACCGGCUAACUCCGUG